GCCAUUCUAGCUCAGUAGGUAGAGCAUUUCCAUGGUAAGGAAAAGGUGCCGGGUUCGACUCCCGGGAAUGGCU
rfam:Lactobacillus fructivorans strain DmCS_002 contig2, whole genome shotgun sequence.